AUUGAACGCUGGCGGCAUGCCUUACACAUGCAAGUCGAACGGCAGCACGGGUGCUUGCCCCUGGUGGCGAGUGGCGAACGGGUGAGUAAUACAUCGGAACAUGUCCUGUAGUGGGGGAUAGCCCGGCGAAAGCCGGAUUAAUACCGCAUACGAUCCACGGAUGAAAGCGGGGGACCUUCGGGCCUCGCGCUAUAGGGUUGGCCGAUGGCUGAUUAGCUAGUUGGUGGGGUAAAGGCCUACCAAGGCGACGAUCAGUAGCUGGUCUGAGAGGACGACCAGCCACACUGGGACUGAGACACGGCCCAGACUCCUACGGGAGGCAGCAGUGGGGAAUUUUGGACAAUGGGCGAAAGCCUGAUCCAGCAAUGCCGCGUGUGUGAAGAAGGCCUUCGGGUUGUAAAGCACUUUUGUCCGGAAAGAAAUCCUUGACUCUAAUACAGUCGGGGGAUGACGGUACCGGAAGUAUAAGCACCGGCUAACUACGUG
rnacentral:rRNA from 1 species